GUUUGAUCCUGGCUCAGAUUGAACGCUGGCGGCAGGCCUAAUACAUGCAAGUCGAACGGUAACAGGAAGAAGCUUGCUUCUUUGCUGACGAGUGGCGGACGGGUGAGUAAUGUCUGGGAAACUGCCUGAUGGAGGGGGAUAACUACUGGAAACGGUAGCUAAUACCGCAUAACGUCGCAAGACCAAAGAGGGGGGACCUUCGGGCCUCUUGCCAUCGGAUGUGCCCAGAUGGGAUUAGCUAGUAGGUGGGGUAACGGCUCACCUAGGCGACGAUCCCUAGCUGGUCUGAGAGGAUGACCAGCCACACUGGAACUGAGACACGGUCCAGACUCCUACGGGAGGCAGCAGUGGGGAAUAUUGCACAAUGGGCGCAAGCCUGAUGCAGCCAUGCCGCGUGUAUGAAGAAGGCCUUCGGGUUGUAAAGUACUUUCAGCGGGGAGGAAGGGAGUAAAGUUAAUACCUUUGCUCAUUGACGUUACCCGCAGAAGAAGCACCGGCUAACUCCGUG
rnacentral:rRNA from 1 species